GACGAACGCUGGCGGCGUGCUUAACACAUGCAAGUCGAACGGAAAGGCCCUGCUUUUGUGGGGUGCUCGAGUGGCGAACGGGUGAGUAACACGUGAGUAACCUGCCCUUGACUUUGGGAUAACUUCAGGAAACUGGGGCUAAUACCGGAUAGGAGCUCCUGCUGCAUGGUGGGGGUUGGAAAGUUUCGGCGGUUGGGGAUGGACUAGCGGCUUAUCAGCUUGAUGGUGGGGUAGUGGCUUACCAAGGCUUUGACGGGUAGCCGGCCUGAGAGGGUGACCGGGCACAUUGGGACUGAGAUACGGCCCAGACUCCUACGGGAGGCAGCAGUGGGGAAUAUUGCACAAUGGGCGGAAGCCUGAUGCAGCAACGCCGCGUGCGGGAUGACGGCCUUCGGGUUGUAAACCGCUUUCGCCUGUGACGAAGCGUGAGUGACGGUAAUGGGUAAAGAAGCACCGGCUAACUACGUG
rnacentral:rRNA from 1 species